rnacentral:rRNA from 1 species
AUCAACUUUCGAUGGUAGGAUAGAGGCCUACCAUGGUGGUAACGGGUAACGGGGUGUUAGGGCACGACACCGGAGAGGGAGCCUGAGAAACGGCUACCACAUCCAAGGAUGGCAGCAGGCGCGCAAAUUACCCAAUCCCGACACGGGGAGGUAGUGACAAUAAAUAACAAUACGGGAUUCUAAAGGAUUUCGUAAUUGGAAUGAGUACAAUUUAAAUCUCUUAACGAUCAACAAUUGGAGGGCAAGUCUGGUGCCAGCAGCCGCGGUAAUUCCAGCUCCAAUAGCGUAUAUUAAAGUUGUUGCAGUUAAAAAGCUCGUAGUUGAAUUUCGGGGUUAGUAGGUUGGUCAUGCCUCUGGUAUGUACUGAUCUCACUGAUUCCUUCCUCUUGACGAACUGUAAUGUCAUUAAUUUGGUGUUGCAGGAAAUCAGGACUGUUACUUUGAAAAAAUUAGAGUGUUUAAAGCAGGCUUAAGCUUGAAUACAUUAGCAUGGAAUAAUGAAAUAGGACGUUUGAACCUAUUUUGUUGGUUUCUAGGAUCGACGUAAUGAUUAAUAGGGAUAGUUGGGGGCAUUAGUAUUCAAUUGUCAGAGGUGAAAUUCUUGGAUUUAUUGAAGACUAACUACUGCGAAAGCAUUUGCCAAGGAUGUUUUCAUUAAUCAAGAACGAAAGUUAGGGGAUCGAAGACGAUCAGAUACCGUCGUAGUCUUAACCAUAAACUAUGCCGACUAGGGAUCGGAUGAUGUUAAUUUUUUAAUGACUCAUUCGGCGCCUUACGGGAAACCAAAGUGUUUGGGUUC